rnacentral:sRNA from 1 species
GUCGGGCAUGGUGGCACAUGCCUGUAAUCCUAGAGGCUUGGGAAGCUGAGGCAGGAGGAUCAUGAGUUCAAAGCUAGCCUCAGCAAAAGUGAGGUGAUAAGCAACUCAUUGAGACCCUGUCUCUA